rnacentral:rRNA from 1 species
GAUGAACGCUGGCGGCGUGCCUAAUACAUGCAAGUCGAGCGAACAGAUGAGGAGCUUGCUCCUCUGACGUUAGCGGCGGACGGGUGAGUAACACGUGGAUAACCUACCUAUAAGACUGGGAUAACUUCGGGAAACCGGAGCUAAUACCGGAUAAUAUAUUGAACCGCAUGGUUCAAUAGUGAAAGACGGUUUUGCUGUCACUUAUAGAUGGAUCCGCGCCGCAUUAGCUAGUUGGUAAGGUAACGGCUUACCAAGGCAACGAUGCGUAGCCGACCUGAGAGGGUGAUCGGCCACACUGGAACUGAGACACGGUCCAGACUCCUACGGGAGGCAGCAGUAGGGAAUCUUCCGCAAUGGGCGAAAGCCUGACGGAGCAACGCCGCGUGAGUGAUGACGGUCUUCGGAUCGUAAAACUCUGUUAUUAGGGAAGAACAAAUGUGUAAGUAACUAUGCACGUCUUGACGGUACCUAAUCAGAAAGCCACGGCUAACUACGUG